ACAACAUUUAAAAAGUUACAAAUGUACAUAAAUUAACAGAGAAAUUAAUUGAACAUUUACACUUUUGAAGAUUAAUGCCACAACGCCAGGGCCCAAACCCUCCAUCUGCUGUAGGUGAACCAAAAACAACUGAUAGCAGCUCUCAGUGAUAUGUGUCGGGUCCCCGCUAUAAUAGCAGCAACAUUCACAAAUGUUUACAGAACAAGCGGGAACCCAGCGUGCCUGUAGCUUUCUAUAUUUCAGUUUUAUCACGUGAUAGAAAGAAACAUAAAUAGUUUCUCUAUUUUGUUAGUGUGGCUGAAACGAAAUCUCAGACAUCCUUACACCAGGAAUCUCUCACUGCAGGAGGGCUAAAUGAAUUUCCCCAGUGGCGACUGAGCUCCUGGUACUUGUGUACAACAAGGAAUGCUGUUGUGUUGCGUCCUCAUACUUCUGUGUUGUAAACUGUUGCUUACAUCGCAAAUAUCAUUGUCAAGGAUGCCUAAAGUAUCUGGAGAAUGUAGUACAAAGUAGUACAGUGAUUUGUAAAAUGCCAUCUUUGCUCAUGGGUGUACACUUUUUCAACCAAUCACCUGCUUCAUAAAUGUCAUGUGACUUAGGCCUACUCUGGAGCCACAUGACAUUUCGAUAGGGUUGGGUGAUUGGACUGUGAUGUCAAAUGCAGCGGACAGCGGGAAAUAUAAGUCAAAUUUAACAUGUCAACAGAGAACAAUGCCAUUUGUUAGAAGCAAUUGUGUAAAUACAGCUUCUUACUAUGCUAA
ensembl:lncRNA